GCUUCAGUGAGCUGUCUUCCCUCUUUAUGGUUAAGUGAACCCGAAAACAGUGGCAAAGAAAUAUGCACUGAGUCAUAUAUUCUACAAAAUAGACUGUACUCUCCUCUAACCAAAAUUACGAACGACAGUUUAAUUCUUGGAUUUUUCCACAUUUUUCGUAGCUAAGGCUCCUAUUUGCUUUCUUUGAAUCUAUCAGUUCUUGCAGCUCUGCCCAUGGGGAAAACUCUGCGGGACCCUGCCACUGUAGCCCUGGCACUGUUAAGAGGAGUCAAAGAGACUUCUCAGAAGACAACCAAAUCAUUACUUGAAGAAGGAAGAUCCUACCCAUUUGGGUAUCUAGUGAAACACAGACAGAAUGAAGAGAGGGAGGAAAGAUAAACUUUCUUUCUGGAUCCAGGACAUCUGUCUUCUCCUUGUGGAUGCUUAUUUCUCUGGCCUUAGGCUCCAGGAUGUAUGUUCAACCAUGGAUGGAACCUGAAUAGACCAAAAGUCUCCUGGUCUAUUGAGUUACUCCAGACCCAGGCUGAUGGGAACGCCAUCUCCACACAGAAAUCUGCUUUCAAAUUCUGCAUCCCAGGUGGGAGAACACAAUGAUAAAAAGCCCUGUGGUUUGCAAAGAGGUUCAUCAGUGGGAGGUGGAGAAAAUGGAGCAGAAGAGUAUUGGCCAGACUUUCCCAGGAUUCCCAGAAUUGAUGCAGACUCUACAACCCCACCAGUAAAACAUGAAUGGGACCACAGGAAACAAGAGGUAACAGUGAAACCGCCUCAUGGCAAGCUUCCAUGGACAUCUGGGAGACUCCAUGCUGUACAGCUAAGAUAAGAAUGGCAGAUGCAGAGAUGGUCCAUGUUCCAUUAAUGCUUCAAGAUGGCAUAGAACCAACAAGGAAUCCUGAAACUUUAAAAGUUGACACCUCCUUCCAUGUCUCCCAACUACAAUCAUGUUCUCAAAUUCUCAACUGAUUUUUCUUCACAAAAGAUGCCUUACCCACUGAGCCAUCUCGCCAGCCCCCACCAGCUAUUUCAUAUUGUUGCUGUAAUAUGCCUGUCAGUCAUUAACACAGAACGAUAAUGAGACUCAAAGCAUGGUCAUGCUGACCACAUAUCUUAUUCUGUUCUGUAUAUUCUGAGGUUCGUUAAUCAACAACUGUAAACACCACUUAGGAAUCGGAAUAAAGGUCAGUUAGAACUACCUAGUCAAAGUAGCUUGAGUCAGAGCCUACCACUAGGCAGCACUUCCUGCUCAUUGUGUGUGUGUGUGUGUGUGUGUGUGUGUGUGUGUGUGUUUCCUUUAUAAACUGGCCCUGAGAAAUGUUCUGGGUCAUAGCCUCAGCCCCUAAAUUCUGACCUAUGGCUCUAAUCAACCAAUCUUAGGGUGUGCAUUCAAUAAACCAUCCCUGUCUGAGUGAAAAAAAAGAUACCUUCAGUGACUGAGAAACACAACAGAUGGUGACACAUUUGGAUGAGUUAUGUCAUGAAAUGGAUGACCUAGCCAUAAUGCUGAGAUAUCAGGGGUAGGAAGGGAAGGGCCUCAGGAAAAGCUGGUGCCAAGACUGAAGUUAUCAGAAUCAUGCAUUGCAUGAGUGCUGUUGGACUGGAAUCUGCAUGAGUGACCUACUCUUCCGAGGAACAGCUUGUUGGCACUGAACUCUAAGUGGGGAUUGUUAAUUCAUCCUACACUAUAUGCUCAUAUAUAUGUAUAUAUAUAUAUAUAUGUAUAUAUAUAUAUGUUCAUAUAUAUAUAUGAAUUCUAUACUACCAUUCGUGCAUAUAAUACAGAAAUAUCCUGGUGAGGGUCAAACCUUCAUUCUCUUACCCUUUAUAAAAACAUUCAGCCAGUACUUCAAACCAGGUUGGUGUUGGGGAUAGAUAAAAUGUGUUGAAUCAAGACAGAGAAACAAAAGUACCCCUAGUUUUAUAUCAAUAUUGAAAAGAGAAUAUUGAAGAUUGAAAAUAUUAGGCUAGCUAGUAAAUAUUAAGUCUAGGGAUAGGAAGAGAUUGAAGCUGACUUAAGACUGAAUCAGAGAAGAAAUGUAAGAAAGAAAAGAAACUACCAGACUCUGGGGAGCACAUGGGCAACAUUUUAUAAAACCCCACAGAUUUAAAAAUAAGAAACAUGAAUAUUCUGAAAUCAAUAAAGUACUUUUAGGAAUUUAUCCUCCACACAUGGUGACUUUCAUAAAAGUUGUUUAUGGAAGGCCAUUUGGCAAAAUUGCUUGUACUGUCAAAUAUUGAACAUAAGUUGGAUGUCUACCACAACAGAAUCUAUUAAUAAAAUAUGCAAAUCCAAUUAAUUUAACAUUAUAUAACCAUUAAAAGUAUCCUGGGACAUAGUCAUGAUCUCAAAUAUAUUAUUAUUUAGAGAAGCAAUAGGAGGGUGGGACAGACAUGUAUAAUAAAAUACAUUUCUAAAAAUAAACAGAACAGCAAAACUCAUUCUUCAUAGAAAUCAGAAAAGUUUAACUUUUAAAUCACUGUGUAUAAUGGAAGAACUGGUUGUUCUCCGUGAAUAAGGGAGAAAUUAACACUGGGAUGAAAACAAUUAAAACUGAAAUCAGAGAAGACAGAAAUUUAAUGUAAAAAACAUUUUAGCGUAAGAAAGAAGCAAGAAAUGGUAAAUAUUCUGAAUAAUGAAAGAGCACUUUCUGAGUUAAAAUUUACAGACUCACGAAUUCCAUGAAUGGUAAGUAACAGUAAGUAACAUUACAAAUGGAAUGGCAUUCAUGCUUUAAAUUGUAGAAACAAUGAAAUUUAUCUUAUAAAGUCAGAAGUUCCUACUUUAAAUGAGAGCUUCUCAUCUCAAAUACCACUUCUGCAACAUUAGAUGAAAAGGAUUUCAGUGUCAGGACAUGAAACAUCUAUAGUGCUUUCAAAAUUAUAUCUUACCCAAAUUACUCUUCUAGUGAAUAUGUAUAUAUAAGACCAGAUAAUCUCAGGAAUACAUGUAACAAAAUUGACAGACUCAUUACCAAAAUCAGUAUGGUUUUAAAAAGAAAACUGAAAUACCGUUUCACACAAAUUGAAUUUUACGGCCCCAAACUAUGAAAUUCUUGAUACUGAUGCUCAUGAGCACAGAAUGAAGGGUGCAGCUGCUGAUAUGUGCUGCUAUGCUAUGCUAUCAUAUGCUAUGAGAUGAUCUGUGGAAACAAGUUGGGGCAUAUUGGUACAAACUUAGAAAUUCUAUCCAUGUCAUUGACUUUCUUGGAUGAAGCAAUAAAUAAAAAUAAAAUAAAAUUCAUAAA